CCUACGCGUGGCAGCAGUGGGGAAUAUUGCACAAUGGGGGAAACCCUGAUGCAGCGACGCCGCGUGAGUGAAGAAGUAUUUCGGUAUGUAAAGCUCUAUCAGCAGGGAAGAAAAUGACGGUACCCGAUUAAGAAGCCCCGGCUAACUACGUUCCAGCAGCCGCGGUAAUACGGAGGGGGCAAGCGUUAUCCGGAUUUACUGGGGUUAAAGGGGGCGUAGGCGGCAGAACAAGUCUGGAGUGAAAUGCCGGGGCUUAACCCUGGAACUGCUUUGGAAACUGGGCAGCUAGAGUGCCGGAGAGGUAAGUGGAAUGCCUGGUGUAGCGGUGAAAUGCGUAGAUAUUAGGAGGAACACCAGUGGCGAAGGCAGCUUACUGGACUGUAACUGACGUUGAGGCUCGAAAGCGUGGGGAGCAAACAGGAUUAGAUACCCCAGUAGUC
rnacentral:rRNA from 1 species